rnacentral:rRNA from 1 species
UACAGAGGGGGCGAGCGUUGUUCGGAAUUACUGGGCGUAAAGGGCGCGUAGGCGGCCCGCUAAGUCGAACGUGAAAUCCCCAGGCUCAACCUGGGAACUGCGUCCGAUACUGGCAGGCUUGAAUCCGGGAGAGGGAUGUGGAAUUCCAGGUGUAGCGGUGAAAUGCGUAGAUAUCUGGAGGAACACCGGUGGCGAAGGCGGCAUCCUGGACCGGUAUUGACGCUGAGGCGCGAAAAGCUAGGGGAGCAAACGGGG